GAACACUCAAAAUUAUCGGGCAGUUCCUCCUUUAAUGCGUCACCCACGCGACAGACAUCCACUCCUGUGAAUGCAAGUCCUGCAAAGUACACAACCCCUGAAACGGUUAUGAAGUUAUCCUUUCCAGAAUACGUAUUGCACACCGACGCAGAACUUGAGCAAGUCCGAGAACAGUACUUUCAGUUGUCGAAGAGAGGCGAACAGCGCAACUGCCAGAUGUCAAAGGAGCUCAGAUGCCGGCUAGUUCGAAACACCAUGACCAGUAUCAUUGCAAUCCUGAGGGCAAAGGGGAAUGAAGAAUCACACAGAUACCCAUCAAAGCCAGAAAUCACAGCAAUGGCAAAGAGAAUCGUGCUGUACUACCCCAUGCUGCAGGACCAAGGCCUCCAUACAUGGGUCACUGUGUACACACAGCCGUACAAAAGACUGAAAAAUGUGAAAUCCCCCCAAAAAAGAACUUCAGAUGGCAGACGUUCAAAGAGCUCUACAAAGAAGCGCUGCCUUGAGCAGCCAACAGACACGGAUGAAAUGGAGUCAAGUGACUCAACAAUCAUUCUGGAUCUGUCCACAGAAGGAAGUGGCAGCCCAGGUUCAGAGAAUAAAGAAAGUGAGUUAGAAGGACAAAGAAGAUCCCAAAGCCUACCUGAAGAAACACCCUCUGCCCUGUCCAGUCCUGAUGUUGAGUUUGUCCAACUGCCUCGUUACUGUGUGUAGUGGGGGUGUGUGCAUCUUUGUAGGGGUGCACUUGUGUGCCUACACGCAAUUCUAUGUGAUUGCCUGACCAUAUGAGUUUCGGACAAAUAGUUCUCUUGCAUUUAUCAUAUAAAAAAUUAUUUGAUUUUUUAAAAUGGCAUUUAAAUGGUUAAAAUUCCAAAAAUGAAUAGGUAUUUAGUAGUUAGGAUCAGGGCUGAUAUUUGUUAAAAGAUUUAAUUCCAUGAAAGUUUAAUCUAAUAUUAAUGUAUGAUUUUUAUAGCAGUUUUUUGAAAUAUUCUUUGUCAUGCAACAACAUGGGAUGAACUUUUUUAAACUGAGGCAUAUUAAUCAUGUAUAUUUGUGUCUUACAGCUAACAAGUCUGCAGAUAUUGACAGUCCAGACACCUACAGUCCAGCAACCUUGGCCAAACACUACAAGACCCUACAAACUUUGUAUAAAAGAAAAAAUCCAAACCACCAGGAUGUCUCAUCUCUUAGAUUUGGAAUUCGUAGCCAGAAGAGCAUUCAUUGAUUCAAAUACUGUUCGCGAAGAGGACAGACACGAGAAGGUUCUCGAAGCAUAUCCUUGUUUCAAGGAUGUUGAACAUGUGAUGGAGGAGCAGCGAUGAACUGAAGGGAAGAUGGCAUGACUUCUGCCAGAAGGUGCAGUUUUUUGGUGUGUGGAAAAAGGCGCUGAACCCCCAAUAGGAAUGGACAAAUAUGAACAGGCUCUUGAGAUCCUAAGUGUGCUGCCAUCACUGUUCCCCUCCACGUCUGCUCCUCCAAAGAGGGUACGAGAUGCGAGUGAGGCUCUGCUGCAUGUCCUCGAGGAAACAGAAGACCCCAAUUCCUACUUGAAGAAACGCCCUCUCUCCUGCCCAGUUCUGAUCGUCGGUCCGUCCAACUACCUCCUAGUGGUAGGAAAUGUUGCAGUAACCACCAUUCCAAAAGACAAGCUUACAGAGAGUGCUUUAUACCUUAUGGCCUACUAUUAUACCCUAUCCAAAGUGUGUAGCCACUCUGCUUUCAGUCAUACAGACGGAGGUCCUCUUAGACAAAAUCCAUGAGAGAGAUCUCACAUCGUCUUACAAGAAGAGCAUGGCUGGGUGGAAAGCUUUUAUUGGCCAAUAAAACCAGUGGUCAGAUAUGGUGUAGGAUAGCACUUCCUCCAUCCCUCCAAGGGUACUACAGUCCGUGUUCAUUGUUAUGCAUUCUUGGUCUGAAUUUGGCUAAGUUAGCAGUGUUAAUUUGGGGUGCACGACAAUAUUAGCCAACAUGUCGAUAUCCUGUGAUGUGAUGUUAUAUUGUGUGUUGUUUGCACAAUUUUGUACGUGUAUUGAGGGGCACAUUGGUCAGAUGUUUGGACCUGGCCUAACAUUAACCCUGCCAAAAUGUUUUAUGAAGCUGUUUCCCUCAGUCCUCUGGGACUUUUUGUUGUUUAAAUAAUAAUAAAAAAAAGU